CACGUAGGCACCAAGCGUUGUCCGGAUUUAUUGGGCGUAAAGAGCUCGUAGGCGGUUCAGUAAGUCGGAUGUGAAAACUUUGGGCUUAACCCAAAGCCUGCAUUCGAUACUGCUGUGACUUGAGUUCGGUAGGGGAGUGGGGAACUCCUAGUGUAGCGGUGAAAUGCGCAGAUAUUAGGAGGAACACCGGUGGCGAAGGCGCCACUCUGGGCCGAAACUGACGCUGAGGAGCGAAAGCGUGGGUAGCAAACAGG
rnacentral:rRNA from 1 species